rnacentral:rRNA from 1 species
AGAGUUUGAUCCUGGCUCAGGAUGAACGCUGGCGGCGUGCCUAAUACAUGCAAGUCGAACGCGAAAGGCUUGAAGCCUUCGGGCGGAGGGCCGAGUAGAGUGGCGAACGGGUGAGGAACACGUAGGUGACCUGCCCCGGAGAGGGGGAUAACCGUCGGAAACGGCGGCUAAUACCCCAUAAGCUCACGCGAGUUAGAGGGCGUGUGAGAAAAGCUCCGGCGCUCCGGGAGGGGCCUGCGGCCCAUCAGCUAGUUGGUAGGGUAAAGGCCUACCAAGGCGAAGACGGGUAGGGGGCCUGAGAGGGUGGUCCCCCACAUGGGAACUGAGACACGGUCCCAACUCCUACGGGAGGCAGCAGUAAGGAAUAUUGCACAAUGGGCGCAAGCCUGAUGCAGCAACGCCGCGUGCCCGAGGACGGCCUUCGGGUUGUAAAGGGCUUUUCUGGCUGACGAGGAAGGACGGUAGGCCAGGAAUAAGCGUCGGCUAACUACGUGCCAGCAGCCGCGGUAAU